GACGAACGCUGGCGGCGUGCCUAAUACAUGCAAGUUGGGCGCUGAAGGUUGGUACUUGUACCAACUGGAUGAGCAGCGAACGGGUGAGUAACGCGUGGGGAAUCUGCCUUUGAGCGGGGGACAACAUUUGGAAACGAAUGCUAAUACCGCAUAAUAACUUUAAACACAAGUUUUAAGUUUGAAAGAUGCAAUUGCAUCACUCAAAGAUGAUCCCGCGUUGUAUUAGCUAGUUGGUGAGGUAAAGGCUCACCAAGGCGAUGAUACAUAGCCGACCUGAGAGGGUGAUCCGCCACAUUGGGACUGAGACACGGCCCAAACUCCUACGGGAGGCAGCAGUAGGGAAUCUUCGGGAAUGGACGAAAGUCUGAACGAGCAACGCCGCGUGAGGGAAGGAGGGUUUCGGAUCGUAAAACUCUGUUGGUAGAGAAGAACGUUGGUGGGAGUGGAAAGCUCAUCAAGUGACGGUAACUACCCAGAAAGGGACGGCUAACUACGUG
rnacentral:rRNA from 1 species